UGUGCAUUGUAGAAAACUGAACUGAGUCUUCAAUGCUUAGCUCAUGUGUGCCCAGUUUCAUAUAGAUAACCAGCAAGUUAUUUGGCUGCCCAUGUACAACUAUAUAAUGCCCAUAGCAAAUACACUCCCCACCCCAAAACCAGCAGAAACUUCUAGGCUGGUAGACUCCUAUGGCCAUGCACAUGCCCCCUUGUUGACAGACAGGGCCCUUGACCAAUGAAAUGCCUUGGUUUAGAGAAGUUUCUGGACCCCUACCAUAAAUGACCACAGCUCAGAUUCGGUUAGACUUUAAAUGGAGCUGCUGGAGACUGCUAUUGAGUUGGUUUUCCUUGGAGGAGCUGUGAGGCAGUUGAAGAUUCUUGUCAUUGGACCCACCAUCUGAGGAACAUUCUUUGAGGGUUGCUGUGAAAUCCUCCAUCUGGACCAAACAGAGGAAGAAGUCAAACGGGAAAAAAUGAUGAUACGUCCUUGCUUCCCCAAGAACUCCCUUAUAUCUUGGAGUGGAGCAGAAAAUUAAAAGGACUGGAAGAACAUUCUGAUGUGAUGGAGCUCCAGGCAAAGUCCACUUACUGGGGUUCUGCUAGAACUGAAGAAUUUUCAAGAGGGAUGAUAGUGUAAGCUGUACAACUAUAUGACAAUACAAGCAAAAGCAAUGAACUUACUGUUCUUACAAACACAGCUAUUCAAGAUGUAUUGUGCUGCUCGUGUUUGGGAUAAAUCCUGCAGCCCUGAGGAGACAAUGGCCAACUCAGCCUUGCUACACAGAUGAAUUAUGCUCUUUCCGGGAAAAUACAAAAUGGGUAUUAGUAGUUCUGGAGGAACUGUUGCUGUUAACAUCUCCAGCACUAGAUCUUAAGUGGAUGUAUCAUCCUGAAGGGAAUCUUCAUCAGAGCAGACUGCUCUCUGAGUGGAAGAGGUGCCUGUACCUCAGAAGCACUUACUUAACCUUUAUCUCAUGCUGUUGUUUACUCACAAGAAGCUUAGCUAAGGGUCAGGGCAAAAAGACUAAGAUGAAAGAAUGGACCUAAAGAUAUGGCAGUGGAAGUAAAACGUAAAAUCUGAAAAGGAAACAGGUGUAUUUAGGACUCAAAGCAAGACAAGAAAAAUAUGUUAGACUUGAAAGAGAUACAGGGUAGAACUAGAUUGGGAAAUACACAAUAGUGGGAGCCAGCACUAAAGCAGCAAAUUACAGAAGCAAAGAGGAUAUAGCUAUACAAGCAUUGCAGAUGGAUUAUGGAGUAGUUUGGAGUAUGGACUUUCACUUUUUGCCUGAAGUUUAUCCACAGUUGUUAUUCUCAGAGUUCAACUUCUGCUUGUCAGUUUGACAAUUGUUUACCCAGUGAGUCUACUAUCAAGAGUUCAGAAGGUAUAUGUACUUUAUUAAUGGGUUAUUUUAGAUCUGGACAACAUUUUGAUCCCCUUUACAUUUCCAGAAUGAAACCCAACAUUGACUGGGAACCAAGUCUUUGACUCGGUUUUUCCAAAGAGAUUUAGCUCUAAGGUUUUUGGUUUAUACCACUGACACUAUGUAUCAGCAGGUGGUGGUGUUUUGAAGGGUUUUUUUGUUUUGUUGGGGGUUUUUUGUAUGUUUAGUUGUGGUUUUUUUGGUUUGUUUGGUUUGGUUUUUGUUGUGUGGAUUUUUUUUCUGUUUGGUUUUUGUGUGGUUUUUUUUUUUUUUAUUUUAAUUUUCCCAGAAACACUGCUUUAGGCUUACAGAACCUCCAGGAGGUUGGUAUCUGAGACUCUUGAAAGAAUAAUGAAGAAGCAACAAGUCAGAGAAGUGGAAGAACAUUAAGAAAAUAAUGUAGGGAACUGCGUUUAUGGGAGAACAAAUACGUGUGAACUUCACAUUAAAAUGUCUGAUGUAUUGAAAAAAGUGUGCAGAUUUCAGCAAAUAUUUCAGCAAACUGCACCAUGCUCUUUUAUCCUGGGACUCAAGGUGAUGUGCAUUUCUGAAUUUGCAUCUGGAACUUUGUUCUAGUUAUUCCAGGAAUACUUUGACUGGGCAUGAUAUUGUCAUUCAAAACAUUAUCUCCAACAAGCACCUUCCCAAAUUUCUCAUUUUCUCUAGGAAACAGGAUAAAUUCUUGCUUUCUUGGAGACAGGGUUGAAUGAAAUGGCACGUCUGUGAGAACUAUAAAGAUUCUUUAUAUAUGUUUUUAAGGCUUCUAGCACCAGAGUAGAAAGAUUUUGAGGCAAAGCACAUCUUCCUAUUUUGUGUGCUACACAGGAGGCCAGAGGAGGGUCUGAGAAACUCACUGGGAAAGAAUCUUUUCUGAAAUCAGUUAAUCAUAAGAAAAGCUUUGCCUUUUAUAUAGAUUCACCCAGCAACUCCAUACUUGGAAUGCAGUCACCCAAGUGAAGGGUUAGGGCUACAUAUAUAUUAAUAAGUAAAAUGUACUAGGCAUUGUUUUCUGUCCCUCAGACACACAUCACAUAUGCCCAUACUCUUAAACUCUCCAGGCUGCCUAACAAGAAAUCCCCAAAAGUAACAGGAAUGUUUUUGGUUUUGCUUCUUUAUCUGUUAUUUCUGAGAGAAUGCUGAAAAUCCCCCCAAAUAGAUUAGCUGUCAUAUCUUGGUAGCUAAACAGCACAGCUUGAAUAGAGAUAUUGUUCUCACUGAUGCACAAAGCUUCUGUUUGUCAGCUGUGCACACAAAUAUUAGGGAACAGUGCGCAUCCGUCUUUGAAUAUGCCUCUUCAUCAGGGCAACCACUUGAGAUUCAUUAUUCCCCUGAUAGCCCAGGAAAACCACUUUACUUGGCUAUUCAUAAUUAUAAGUCACAUCAUGCUGUACCACUCAAUCAGGACAUUAAGACUGAGAUUCAUCUCCCAUAACUUUAGAUGUCCACAGCCUAGAGGUUUUCAACUGCAGUGCAGCCAUCUGGGCUUCUAUUAAUCCCUUUGCAGAACAGGCCCUUCAAGUUAUGAUUAAUCUGACUUUGGAUGCUUCCUGUAAAAUGGGAUAGCUGGUACCAUAAAUAUCACAGACUAGAUUACCACUGACUGUAAACACUUGUCCAGAUGAAAAGGCCACAUGGAGACGUCUCCAGUGUAAAAUGGCUGCAUAUAUCCAAAUAAAUUGCACAUUUUCUCAUUUGCUGCCUUCUCACUAUUGAGCUGAUUUAAAAUGCUAUUGCCAAGAAAGUGCUCGUCCCCAUCUUUUCCGGGAGGUUUCAGCAGCAGAGAGCAUUUCUUUUCACCUCAUCCACUCUAGUCCAAAAAUCAGUCAUUCACACAUAAACCAUUGAUGAGGUUGGCUUGAGCUAAGACAUCAAAAUCUGCACUGGACCAACUGGAAAGCUGUUACAUCUGCUGAUUCUGCUAUGGAUAAGCAACUUCUGGCAGAAAAACUGUUGUAUCAGGCUGCAGGGUUGUAGCUUUUUUUGCAAUACUACCUGUGGGGAGGACUGUGAGACUCAAGUCCCUUCAAUAUCCAGCCAGUGGAGCCACAGUGACUUAGAACAGCUGGAAUACCUUUUUUUUUUUCACCUUUUAAAAAAUUGCUUUCUUGUUUUAGCUCUUCAUAAUUUCUUUCAUAUUUCAUUUCUUUCCAGAUACAUAGAAGAGUACUGUCCAUCCAGUAGUUAAAGAAAUUGAUAGCUAAAUACACUGAGACACCCCGUGUAGGCACAGAAUAUUUGGUGUAAUGCAUAAAUUGCUUUAAAAACAAAACAAAACACGCACACACACACAAAAACAAACAAAAACCCACAAAAAAAAGCGCAAGAAAAAACAAAAACAAGCAAACAACCCCCACCCCCCCAGACACGUAUUAAUCAUGAAAGAAUAGCAGAAUGAGUACUAUGCUUCACAUGGAUCCCUACAUGCAACUAGACAGCAUAUUUGUCUUACAACCAUGUUCAUUUAAUGCUUGUGAUCCCUGCUUUUGAAAGUCCUCAGAUGUUCUUUUUUGGUGUUGCUAAUUUUUUAGAGAUAUUCAUUUGGGGUCUGAUUUUUUGGUAAGGUUUUACAGAAGCGUAUUUUUUGAAGUCUGCCCAACUUAUUUAAUCUCUCCCAUUGGGCAAAACAUUGAAUCUCUACUGAAUCUCUACUGAAUCUCUACUGAAUUAGAGACUGAAUCUCUAAUUAAGACAUUAUUAUUGGCACAAUUUUGAUACCGUUUUGAUGACUUGUGCAAUCUAGACCACUGUUUCGCAGUCAAUGACUCUGUGUAUUGUGUGAAUCUAAACAUAAUGAAAAGUUGUUUCAAAGUCUGCCCCAAGUUAAUUCCACAAAAUGCCUUAGUAGGCCAUGUUCUAUCUGCACAUCACAGAUGAAGAGUCAUAGUUGGCAAAGGCUGACACUCUGAAGAGUUAACUACUGAAAAGUGCUCUUCUGGGUUUCUAGAUGUUAUAAAAGACAAAUAGCUGUGCAGUUGUAGUCAGGCUGCCACCAAAAAGCAUGUUCUGCCUACAUUGAUAGGUCAGAUAGCUCUGUCUCUGCUUUCAUGCACUUAGUGCAUCAUAUGGAGCUUUCUUUCCUAUAUGUUUUUGUGUUCAUUUCCCAGAAUUUAUUUUGCUGUCUGACAACAUUUGGUUUUAUUUCCUGAGAUAUAGGGCAGAAGAAACAGGUUCUCUAUUUCUUGCUUUGAUCCAAUAAAUUUCUUGAAAUUC